UACGGAGGGUGCGAGCGUUAUCCGGAAUCACUGGGCGUAAAGGGCGCGUAGGCGGCCUCGUAAGUCCGAUGUAAAAGCGCGGGGCUCAACCCCGUCACGGCGUUGGAUACUGCAAGGCUUGACGGCUGGAGAGGUGAGUGGAAUUACCAGUGUAGCGGUGGAAUGCGUAGAUACUGGUAGGAACACCCAGUGCGAAGGCAGCUCACUGGACAGCACGUGACGCUGAGGCGCGAAAGUGUGGGGAGCAAACCGG
rnacentral:misc_RNA from 1 species